GCCGGGGUGGCGGAACUGGUAGACGCGUCGGUCUCAAACACCGAUUCUAGCAAUGGAGUGAGGGUUCGAGUCCCUCUCCCGGCA
rnacentral:tRNA from 1 species